rnacentral:tRNA from 1 species
GGAGAGUAUAGCUCAGUGGUAGAGUGCCUGCCUAGGAUGUGUGAGGUCCUGGGUUCAAUCCCCAGUACUUCCA